rnacentral:rRNA from 1 species
CCUACGGGAGGCAGCAGUGAGGAAUAUUGGUCAAUGGACGCAAGUCUGAACCAGCCAUGCCGCGUGCAGGAAGACGGCUCUAUGAGUUGUAAACUGCUUUUGUACGAGGGUAAAUCCCGAUACGUGUAUCUGGUUGAAAGUAUCGUACGAAUAAGGAUCGGCUAACUCCGUGCCAGCAGCCGCGGUAAUACGGAGGAUUCAAGCGUUAUCCGGAUUUAUUGGGUUUAAAGGGUGCGUAGGCGGUUCGAUAAGUUAGAUGUGAAAUCCCGGGGCUCAACCCCGGAACUGCCUUUGAUACUGUCGGGCUAGAGUUUAGUUGCGGUAGGCGGAAUGUAUGGUGUAGCGGUGAAAUGCAUAGAGAUCAUACAGAACACCGAUUGCGAAGGCAGCUUACCAAACUACGACUGACGUUGAGGCACGAAAGCGUGGGGAGCAAACAGGAUUAGAUACCCUUGUAGUC